rnacentral:rRNA from 1 species
GACGGAGGUCCCGAGCGUUGUUCGGAAUUAUUGGGCGUAAAGCGCGUUCAGGCGGUUUGGCAAGUCGGGCCUGAAAUCUCUCGGCUCAACCGGGAGAGGUUGUCCGAUACUGCUGGACUUGAGGGCAGUAGAGGGUGGUGGAAUUCCGGGUGUAGUGGUGAAAUGCGUAGAUAUCCGGAGGAACACCAGUGGCGAAAGCGGCCACCUGGACUGCACCUGACGCUGACACGCGAAAGCUAGGGGAGCGAACGGG